rnacentral:rRNA from 1 species
GACAGAGGUGCCGAGCGUUAGGCGGAAUCACUGGGCUUAAAGCGUGUGUGGGCGGAUCUGUAAGUACCUUGUGAAAUCCCACGGCUCAACCGUGGAACUGCUUGGUAUACUGCGGGUCUUGAGCCACCUAGGGGCAAGUGGAACAAACGGUGGAGCGGUGAAAUGCGUAGAUAUCGUUUGGAACGCCAAUGGUGAAAACAACUUGCUGGGGGUGUGCUGACGCUGAGACACGAAAGCCAGGGGAGCAAACGGG